AUCUCACUGGAGAUCCCUGUGUACCUGAGGCUUUCUGAAGAUCUUUAUGACUAUAUCCUAUUUUGGAGAAUGGGACACAAGGAUUAAACCAGUAGCUAGCACAAUGAAAGAAAUGACCAAAUGAGGCAUUCUUUAUGUCUCAUGUAGUCUAUCCUGGAAUCACAGAUUUUUCAAGUUUGGAAUGGAGCCUCAGUGGGGCAUCUAGUCUAAUCUGCCUGCUCAAGCAUGGAUGCACUGAGCAGGUUGCAUAUGACCAUGUUGAUUUUGAAGGUCUCCAAGGAGGGGCAAUCCACAAGCUAUUUGGGCAACUUAUGACAGUACUCUAUCAUCUGCACAUUGCAGAACUGCUUCCUGAUGUUUUGAUGGAGCCUCUUGUUCCAUUUUGCAUGUGUUGCCUCCAGUCCUAACACCACCAAAAAAAGCCUGGAUCCAUCUUCUCUGCACUCUCCGCUUGGGUAGUUAUACACUUUGAUAAGAUCCUCUAUGAGUCUCCUCCAGGCUGAACAGUCUGAGCUCUCUCAGCCUCUCCUUUUUGGUGACUCUUCAUUGGACUCUUUCCAGCAUGUGCAUGUUUCUGUUGUCCGGAACUCUUGACUCUGCUCUCUUUGUGGCCUUACCAACAGUGAGCUGGCAUGAAGGAUCGCUACUUUCCUACUUUGUCUCAUGAAGACAAGAAUACCAUUAGCCUUCUUAGCAGCAGGAACUCACUGCUGAUUCAUCCUCCCUGCUGUAAAGUUGUAUAUGUUGGUUACCUGGUAUUUCAGUUUAGUUACCUGAUACUUUUUAUUCAGUGAAAUAGAUGAAAGCAAGGAUGGAAGUUAGGAGAAUUUCUCAGGUGGUGCACCUGUCACUGGCAUAGAGAAGUGGCCUCUGAGAAAGUGGAGUAUGUUAUAAAACAAAUGGAUGUGCUUUAGUGGGGAAAUGUUGAUUAGCUGGUGGAUGGUUGGACUGGAUGACCUUGGAGGUCUUUUGCAACCAUGGUGAUUGUAUGAUUCUAUGAAAUGUCUUGUGGUGUGUACUGCUUAGGAGUAUCCAGAAUGCUAUAUGCUUGCAGAUAAUCAGCUGAGAAACAUUCAUUUUGGAUAACUUAUUACAUAUGUGUUAAUAUAAUUAUCAUCAUUUGUAUUAGUUUUUGUUUGUAGACAACAAUGUGUCAUGUAUAUUUUGCCAGAAGCACAGUAUUGCUAACACAGUAGGACUAGCUUUUAAGUUGAGCUGUAACUGUAGUAAAAUCAUAAUUUCUAACAUAUUGAGACAUAAGCAUAUAGUCUAUCUUAUAUUAAGUCUUAGUGUUCAUAAUUACAUACUUCUGGAAAACAGAACUGCUGGCUUUCUGUGCAAACUUGUUUUUGGAUUUAUUCAGUUACGAGCAUAUGCUGAGAGCGCUAUGCCAUGUUAGCGUUCUUACUGUUCUGAAUUCUGAAAGACUUGUACUUGAUCUAUGGUGAUGUGAACAGGAUGUGAUGAUUCAGUGGAGAUGCAAGCUUCUUUAAAUAUAGAAAAUACUUUCUAU
ensembl:lncRNA